rnacentral:tRNA from 1 species
GGCUCGGUAGCUUGGUAAAGCACUUGUCUAGCGAAUAAGGGUCGUGAGUUCAAAUCUCACCUGAGCUG